UUAAGCGACUAAGCGUACACGGUGGAUGCCCUGGCAGUCAGAGGCGAUGAAGGACGUGCUAAUCUGCGAUAAGCGUCGGUAAGGUGAUAUGAACCGUUAUAACCGGCGAUUUCCGAAUGGGGAAACCCAGUGUGUUUCGACACACUAUCAUUAACUGAAUCCAUAGGUUAAUGAGGCGAACCGGGGGAACUGAAACAUCUAAGUACCCCGAGGAAAAGAAAUCAACCGAGAUUCCCCCAGUAGCGGCGAGCGAACGGGGAGCAGCCCAGAGCCUGAAUCAGUGUGUGUGUUAGUGGAAGCGUCUGGAAAGGCGCGCGAUACAGGGUGACAGCCCCGUACACAAAAAUGCACAUGCUGUGAGCUCGAUGAGUAGGGCGGGACACGUGGUAUCCUGUCUGAAUAUGGGGGGACCAUCCUCCAAGGCUAAAUACUCCUGACUGACCGAUAGUGAACCAGUACCGUGAGGGAAAGGCGAAAAGAACCCCGGCGAGGGGAGUGAAAAAGAACCUGAAACCGUGUACGUACAAGCAGUGGGAGCACGCUUAGGCGUGUGACUGCGUACCUUUUGUAUAAUGGGUCAGCGACUUAUAUUCUGUAGCAAGGUUAACCGAAUAGGGGAGCCGAAGGGAAACCGAGUCUUAACUGGGCGUUAAGUUGCAGGGUAUAGACCCGAAACCCGGUGAUCUAGCCAUGGGCAGGUUGAAGGUUGGGUAACACUAACUGGAGGACCGAACCGACUAAUGUUGAAAAAUUAGCGGAUGACUUGUGGCUGGGGGUGAAAGGCCAAUCAAACCGGGAGAUAGCUGGUUCUCCCCGAAAGCUAUUUAGGUAGCGCCUCGUGAAUUCAUCUCCGGGGGUAGAGCACUGUUUCGGCAAGGGGGUCAUCCCGACUUACCAACCCGAUGCAAACUGCGAAUACCGGAGAAUGUUAUCACGGGAGACACACGGCGGGUGCUAACGUCCGUCGUGAAGAGGGAAACAACCCAGACCGCCAGCUAAGGUCCCAAAGUCAUGGUUAAGUGGGAAACGAUGUGGGAAGGCCCAGACAGCCAGGAUGUUGGCUUAGAAGCAGCCAUCAUUUAAAGAAAGCGUAAUAGCUCACUGGUCGAGUCGGCCUGCGCGGAAGAUGUAACGGGGCUAAACCAUGCACCGAAGCUGCGGCAGCGACACUAUGUGUUGUUGGGUAGGGGAGCGUUCUGUAAGCCUGUGAAGGUGUACUGUGAGGUAUGCUGGAGGUAUCAGAAGUGCGAAUGCUGACAUAAGUAACGAUAAAGCGGGUGAAAAGCCCGCUCGCCGGAAGACCAAGGGUUCCUGUCCAACGUUAAUCGGGGCAGGGUGAGUCGACCCCUAAGGCGAGGCCGAAAGGCGUAGUCGAUGGGAAACAGGUUAAUAUUCCUGUACUUGGUGUUACUGCGAAGGGGGGACGGAGAAGGCUAUGUUGGCCGGGCGACGGUUGUCCCGGUUUAAGCGUGUAGGCUGGUUUUCCAGGCAAAUCCGGAAAAUCAAGGCUGAGGCGUGAUGACGAGGCACUACGGUGCUGAAGCAACAAAUGCCCUGCUUCCAGGAAAAGCCUCUAAGCAUCAGGUAACAUCAAAUCGUACCCCAAACCGACACAGGUGGUCAGGUAGAGAAUACCAAGGCGCUUGAGAGAACUCGGGUGAAGGAACUAGGCAAAAUGGUGCCGUAACUUCGGGAGAAGGCACGCUGAUAUGUAGGUGAAGUCCCUUGCGGAUGGAGCUGAAAUCAGUCGAAGAUACCAGCUGGCUGCAACUGUUUAUUAAAAACACAGCACUGUGCAAACACGAAAGUGGACGUAUACGGUGUGACGCCUGCCCGGUGCCGGAAGGUUAAUUGAUGGGGUCAGCGCAAGCGAAGCUCUUGAUCGAAGCCCCGGUAAACGGCGGCCGUAACUAUAACGGUCCUAAGGUAGCGAAAUUCCUUGUCGGGUAAGUUCCGACCUGCACGAAUGGCGUAAUGAUGGCCAGGCUGUCUCCACCCGAGACUCAGUGAAAUUGAACUCGCUGUGAAGAUGCAGUGUACCCGCGGCAAGACGGAAAGACCCCGUGAACCUUUACUAUAGCUUGACACUGAACAUUGAGCCUUGAUGUGUAGGAUAGGUGGGAGGCUUUGAAGUGUGGACGCCAGUCUGCAUGGAGCCGACCUUGAAAUACCACCCUUUAAUGUUUGAUGUUCUAACGUUGACCCGUAAUCCGGGUUGCGGACAGUGUCUGGUGGGUAGUUUGACUGGGGCGGUCUCCUCCUAAAGAGUAACGGAGGAGCACGAAGGUUGGCUAAUCCUGGUCGGACAUCAGGAGGUUAGUGCAAUGGCAUAAGCCAGCUUGACUGCGAGCGUGACGGCGCGAGCAGGUGCGAAAGCAGGUCAUAGUGAUCCGGUGGUUCUGAAUGGAAGGGCCAUCGCUCAACGGAUAAAAGGUACUCCGGGGAUAACAGGCUGAUACCGCCCAAGAGUUCAUAUCGACGGCGGUGUUUGGCACCUCGAUGUCGGCUCAUCACAUCCUGGGGCUGAAGUAGGUCCCAAGGGUAUGGCUGUUCGCCAUUUAAAGUGGUACGCGAGCUGGGUUUAGAACGUCGUGAGACAGUUCGGUCCCUAUCUGCCGUGGGCGCUGGAGAACUGAGGGGGGCUGCUCCUAGUACGAGAGGACCGGAGUGGACGCAUCACUGGUGUUCGGGUUGUCAUGCCAAUGGCACUGCCCGGUAGCUAAAUGCGGAAGAGAUAAGUGCUGAAAGCAUCUAAGCACGAAACUUGCCCCGAGAUGAGUUCUCCCUGACUCCUUGAGAGUCCUGAAGGAACGUUGAAGACGACGACGUUGAUAGGCCGGGUGUGUAAGCGCAGCGAUGCGUUGAGCUAACCGGUACUAAUGAACCGUGAGGCUUAACCUU
rnacentral:rRNA from 1 species